rnacentral:misc_RNA from 1 species
GAUGAAGAACGCAGCGAAAUGCGAUAAGUAAUGCGAAUUGCAGAAUUUCCGUGAGUCAUCGAAUCUUUGAACGCACAUUGCGCCCACUGGUAUUCCGGUGGGCAUGCCUGUCCGAGCGUCGUUUCAACCCUCGAGCCCCCGUGGCCCGGCGUUGGGGAUCUGCCACGGCAGGCCCCUAAAACCAGUGGCGGACCCGAAGGCCCUCUCCUUUGCGCAGUAGCAUCAGCCUCGCAUUGGGAUCCCUCGGCGUCCUGCCUCUAAACCCCCCACAAGUCCGCUCCGGCGGCACCAAGGUUGACCUCGGAUCAGGUAGGAAUACCCGCUGAACUUAAGCAUAUCAAUAAGCGGAGGA